UUUUUUUUUUUAAAUCCAGGACAUGUUCUCAUCUGGUCACUAUAACCACUUAAAUGGCUCUCUCAGUGGAGUUAAAUUUUGCUUUCACUUUGUUACAUGUAAAAAUGAGACUGUUAAGCCACUCUUAAUAAUAUACAUGUUUUGGGUUGUUUUUCUCGUAAUGAGGCGGGCUUUUACUGAGUCAUCUCUAUCUCUUUAGAAAAGUCUUCUUUGGGUCCAAGAUAUGUUUUCUCUUGCAAAGAAAACAACACAUCUCUUACAUAAAAUAAAAUCCACAAUCCUCAUUUUCUAGCACUAAAAUCUAAGCCACCCACCCUCAACUUCCACAUGCAUCUGCAGGGUAAUGCCAGACCAUCUGAGAGGGGUGUCUCGAGUCAUUUGCUAAGCUUGGUUGCAAUGAUAAAGUCUGAACCUGCAAAUGAUUUGUUUCAAAUAAUAAAUCAGAAGGGCUCAAGGUUAUUCCUGUAAUAGUCAUUCUUAUUUCUAUUUAAUGUUUUCUUGGGAGGGAGAAAAAGAGUUAGGGUUUAGGGGAGAGUUGUAUAUACAAAUGCAACUCUCCCCUAAAGAGUUCAUGAUAUGAAUUUCAUGAUAUAUAUUUCAGUCCAAAAAAAGUUCUGAAUGAACCUUGGCUCUAAUCAGCGGUACUGUAUUACCAGGGGCAAGGCUGACAUUAGAGCUCAGAUUUCUUUUAGGAAAACUGUAGAGAACGUUGAAAGGUCCUUGCAUAUGGCCAACGUAUACCAGGAAACUAGGGGGUACGGUUGCCAAAUGUAGCAAAUUAAAAAUAUGAGAAGUAAUUUUCAGCAUACAUGUAUUCCAAAUAUUGCAUGGGACAUACUUAUACUAAAAAUUGCCUGUUGCGUAUCUGCAAUUUAAACUUAACUGGGCAUCCUGCAUAUUAUCUAGCACCCUACUAGGGAGUCAAGGGGCCGGAUAGCUUAAGGACACCGAACUAGCAUAAUAUGUUGUGUUCAUUUCUACAGCAAGAUGGGGGCGCUCCAGAACUGAAGAUGGUUUUCAGAUGUUUAUCCUUUCCUAUUUACCCCUGACUGUAAAAAUACACCCUUUGCAUGUUCUCUCCUUUUUUCCAGCAGGCAAUAAUCGUGAGCUUACAAUACACUUGCCUGGGACUGUCCUAGAAGCUGGAAACAAAAGGUGAAUAAAGCCCCACCUCUGACCUCUGGAGUGGACACACGGGUGGACAGACAGAGGGACACCAAGUGAGCAGAACCACGCUGUAAGAAAAAACUGAUCAGGGGAAAAGAAGGGAUGGGGGCGUGGGAUGGGCCUGAUUUGAGACAGGAUGCUCUUUAGGGCUUUCUCUAAGACAGACAGAAAAUGUGCAAGCGCUUGAGGAAUGUGAAAAAGUGAGAGGAGAGGAGAGAGAAGGGAGGAGAAGAAGAGGAAGAAGGAGAAGCGGUGGCUGACCUGUGCAAAGUGAAACACUCUGGAGCCAUCUAGUAUCGAAAACCAAGGGCCUUCAGGCCAAUGCUGUAACACAUAAAAUGAGCAUCCUAAGCAAUGGAGAUGGGCGCCUCCAUUUAGGAAAGAGAGCCUGGCCUUCUAGAGUGUAGUUUUGGAAAGUCAGUAGUUAACAUUGCUUUCAAAUUGCGUUAAGAAGGUAAACCUGUGACCUGGAAAAAUAUUCCCUGAUUUCCUAUAAGCAUUCCCAUUUUGGGUGGGAAGGAAUGUGCGUACAAUGACUAGUCCAACAUGUCCCCACCAGAGUAAUCAGCGGAUCCCUGUCUAUUCCUGAGAAUAUGUCAGAAACAAAGUUCCCACGGCUCUUGAAUCCCUUCUCCUGUUCAAAAGGACACGGACAAAUACCUGACCUUAGGUUCUGGUCACAGCAGCACUGACCAGAACCAGCAAGGCUGCCAUCAUUUAUCAGUUACAGCUAAUGACACUGCACCUCUGGGUUGUACCAAAGUUCUAAGGGAGGACUUUGAUAUUUACAAUAAUUGGCUGGGCACAGCGGCUCAUGCCUGUAAUCCCAGCACUCUGGGAGGCUGAGGUGGGUGGAUCACUCGAGGCCAGGAGCUCCAGACCAGCCUGGCCAACAUGGUGAAACCCAGUCUCUACCAAAAAUAAAAAAAUAAAAAUAAAAA
rnacentral:lncRNA from 1 species